GAAAUACUUCAAUUUUUCAGUGAAGGAAAAUAUAAUUUUCUCAAGUAUUUCAACUAUUGAGAUUCAGUGUUUGCAAGUUGUACUGAUGAAUAAGCUUCGGCAGUUAUUGUCACUUCAUUUUGAAGAUCAUCAGGUCUUCUAGCAUAGAUAUUGCAAUUUUGAAGUAUGACUUUUGCGUUACCAAAUAUGAAGUCCACAGUACCAUAGACUUCACAAUCUCUGAAAAAUUGAACACCAUUUUUUGUGUAAAGUGUAUCUUGAUACCCAUCAAACUUGCAACGAUAGAACACAACGUGGUCAGCUGAAAUACUAGUCGCGACUGCUUGGUGCAUCGAUGGUCCAGCAGUGUUCUGGAAUGUGAUAUCUUGUGCUAUGAAUCCAUAGCCACUUAUAUCUGUUUUCAACCAAGAAGAAGAAGAUGAACAAGAAGAAGAAUAGAAUAUUAAUUUUAAGUGUAUAUCGCUUGUUGAACCCAUAGCCAUGUACUAUGGUCUGCUACAAAAACUUUUCACUUCUAUGAACUACAUUAUAAAUAAAAAUUUUGUAUCUAUUUACCUAAAAAAGAAAAAAAAAAUAAAAGAUAUAAGAGCCGGCAAAUCCACAUCUAUUGUAUAUGAAGUAUAAAGAUGCAUAUAAUGUAUAAUAUAUAAUAUGCAUGUGUACUAUUCUUUUUGGAAUAAGAUAGGUAGUAUAGGUAACUUAUGGUAAAAUAAACGGGCAAUGUGAAAUUCUUAAAAUUACUAGUUUUAAAAUUUAGCUUGACAAAUAUUUCAAGAUAUUA